UUCCGUUCCGGACUGGCCGGGGAGGUCACCGCCCGGUGCCUGCCCGCCAGCCUCCGAACAGGUCUUCGAAGCCCCGCCGGUUCUACGCCGGGGUGCUCUUUACCGAGUGUCCUGCGCGGCCGGCAAGUUUACCUUGAAUAAAUAAGAGUGCUCAAGGCAGGCUACUCUUCAAACCUAUGCCCGAAAGAUAACUGCAUGGAAUAAUGAAAGAUGAUCUCGGUCUCAUUUCUGAUUGGCUCUGGGGACCGAGAUAAUGAUAAAAAGAGACUGUCGGGGGCAUCCGUACUACGACGCGAGAGGUGAAAUUCUAUGACCGUCGUAGGACGAACAACAGCGAAAGCAUUUGCCAAGAAUGUCUUCAUUGAUCAAGAACGAAAGUUAGAGGAUCGAAGGCGAUCAGAUACCGCCCUAGUUCUAACCCUAAACGAUGCUGACUAGCAAUCCGCCGUCGUUAUUCCCAUGACGUGGCGGGCCGCUCCCGGGAAACCUCAAGUCUUUGAGUUCCGGGGGUAGUAUGGUUGCAAAACUGAAACUUAAAGGAAUUGACGGAAGGGCACCACCAGGAGUGGAGCCUGCGGCUUAAUUUGACUCAACACGGGAAACCUCACCAGGCCCAGACACUAGCAGGAUUGACAGAUUAAGAGCUCUUUCUCGAUUUGGUGGGUGGUGGUGCAUGGCCGUUCUUAGUUGGUGGAGUGAUUUGUCUGGUUAAUUCCGGUAACGAACGAGACUCUGGCCUACUAAAUAGUCGACGUGGUGGUAUGGCCACGGUCGAAACUAUCUUCUUA
rnacentral:rRNA from 1 species